CCACUGUUUUAUCCUUACUGAUGUAAUUCAACAGCAGUUUCUGAUAGACUAUGAUAUUAGCCAAGUUUUUCAGUAAGAAACCAGGAGUCAUUCAAAAGAAGUUGUGACACUGUGGAUGUAGCACAUCCUUGAGAGAAAGUAGUACUAUUUUCUGUUCAUUUGUAGCUGCUUCACCUGUUAGUUCAAUCUGAUGAGUACAGGGUAGAUUUUUCUACCUCACUCCUCUGGUCCUACUACUCUUCAUCUUAUUUCUUAUUACAUCGAUAUCUUUAUAAUUUCAGAAGGAAACAACUCCCUCCCCAAAACAAAAUUUUUGUUUCCAUACUAAAAUUUUUCCAAUUCCUAUACCCAGAUUCUACCAGUGUUCAUCAUCUUAUAUCAUUGAUUUAUUUUCUCUCAGUUUCCCUGAAGGAAGGAAACAACCAAACCUGACACCUUAUUUCAUUCCUGUUCAUCACUGGUCCUUUCAAGAAUAAAGCUGACCCUCGUUAAAAGUGGCAAAGUCUCACCAUGUUGCUGAAGUGCCCAGGCACGGCUUGAGUUUGUAAACUUCCUGCCUCAGCCUCCCAGAGUGCUGGAAUUACAGUCUGUUGACCCAAAUUGAGCUCACACUGUUCUAAUUGUGGGAAAUGCACUUGAGCAAAGGUCCCAGCUGAGGUGCUCUGAAAUCCACUGCCGGGAGGCCACUGUUCCCAGGGUUGCUUCCAGCCAAUCACAGUGCAGCACGGAUCCUGAGGCAGCACACCUGGUCCUCUGAGGUCCACUUUGGCUUGAGGGCUCCUUGCCAACUUUGUUGAAUCUCCUUUGACUGCACAGUGACCUAAAGCACUUGAGUCCACAUUCUUUCUCCUUCCCUCAGUCUUAGGUACUUUCUUUUUACUGGGACAAAAUACUCAACGCCCACGACUAAAAGGAGAGGUUUGGUUUGGCUCACGGUUGCAAUCCAUGGUGAGAGCUGGCUCCAAGGCAGGAACCUGAUGGCAAGGGGCACGGUGGAGGAAUGAAUGGUCAGUCCCAGUGGGAACACCCAGCUGAACUGAGUCCCUGAGGUUCUGGGUGUGGAAGACCCACGGAGGACUACUGUCAGAAUGCCAUAAAAGGAGAUCCAGAGGGGAGGACUGCAUGAUCCUGACUUCCCAGGAGAAACUGUUGCAGUGCUCUUCCUGACUGACUAUUCUGGAAGAGGAGCUCAGGGCUCUCCCUGUUGCAGUCCUCUUUGGGAGCUCUGGUCUUUACUUUCGUCAUGAGUGUAGCUUCCUAGCUCCAGGCAGAUCCCUCAGCCUUGGAGCAGACUCUCUGGCCUCCAGCACCAGCCCUUGGGCUUUCCACAUGGACCCUCUGGUCUUCCUUCGUGGAUUCCUCGGCCUCCUGAUGGAACUUGCAUGGGACAUCGCCAUGGGCUCCAGGCCUUGGGCUGGACUUGUGUGGGACAUUGCUGAGGGAUCUAGGCCCUUGGCUGGAUUCUUUGAGUCUCUAGUGCAUGGACAGAUCUCCUGGACUCUGCUGCAUUUGCCUUUUGAGGUGAAUACUGUGAGAUAAUCCUAUAAAUUUGUGUGUCCCCUAGUAAAUUCCCUAGCACACCCUGACUAAAUACAUCAACCCUCAGCCAGAGAAAGGAGGGGCUGAG